CUUGUGAGGCAACCCAAACCGCUUAGCACUAAAACAGUAAAAUGGCUGCAUGAUCCAUCAACGAACACGUAUAUAUAGUUGUUGAAUCAUAUUAUUAGAUCUUUCUCUCUCAGUGCGACUGAAUUUCAUUUUGAAUCACUUAAUUUAGGAGUUUAUUUUUUUAAAUAAAAUUGUGAAGAAGAUGAGAGAAGGUAACACUAGCAAUGGCCGAGUCACUUGGGAAGGUUGCAGCGUCUUGCUUGAUAUCAACGACGGAGACCGUCUGGUUUUCGCUCGUCUCUCUUCUCAGAAAUUGAAAAUUGGGAAUAAAAACUGCUCUGCCUUUGGUACUGUUUUUCAAGUGGAUACCGCUCCCGAUGGGCCUUGUCUUUCUCCCGCACAAGUUAAUGUUAAUAAUGUUGAGGAAAUAGGAGAUGGUCAAGGGAAUGAUGAGUUCAGGGACAAAGUUAAUGUUAAUAGUGCUGAUGAAGUAAGAGAUGCUGCAGUGAAUGUUGAGUCAAGGGACAAUGGGGCAUUGGUUGACAAUAAUACUGCACAAAGUCUGACUGGUGAAGAUAUAGAAGCCAUGAGAAGACAGGGUGCAAGAGAUAAUGAAAUAAUUGAAGCUCUCAUUGCCAAUAGUGCGACAUUUGAAAAGAAAACAUCAUUCUCUCAGGAGAAAUAUAGACUUAAGAAACAGAAGAAAUAUGCACCAAAAGUACUUAUGUUAUGAGGGGUCCUGUUGCUCGAAGGUUUUCACAUAUUGAUAAUGUUUCACAUAAUUUUUUGUGCAACAGAUCACUGUGCCUCUCAUAUAAGAGAUAUACCUGAAAGAUCUAUCCUAUAUAGGCUUCUUGAGUUCUGUUCUGUUGAUGAUAAUACAUUACGCUGUUAUGCCUUUUGUCACCUUACUACAAACUGUUUGCUGGUGGUGGGACCAAUCAGCAUUAUAUUGAUUCAAUAAAAGUUAUACAAAUAGUUGUGUCAAGAAAAGGAUAUUUUUGUAUUAUGAAAUUGUUUGUGACUUAUAUUUUGCCUGCCAUAUCUUUAAAUGUAUACUGUAUCAGUUUUUGAUAUUUCGAGUCUCAACUCUAUUACUUACCGUUAGUCUCUUUUUUUUUU